UGGUGGUUGUUGGAAAGAUUUAUCAGGCAUGGAUGGACUCGCGGCCUAUCAGCUUGUUGGUGAGGUAAUGGCUCACCAAGGCGACGACGGGUAGCCGGCCUGAGAGGGUGACCGGCCACACUGGGACUGAGACACGGCCCAGACUCCUACGGGAGGCAGCAGUGGGGAAUAUUGCACAAUGGGCGAAAGCCUGAUGCAGCGACGCCGCGUGAGGGAUGACGGCCUUCGGGUUGUAAACCUCUUUCAGUAGGGAAGAAGCGAAAGUGACGGUACCUGCAGAAGAAGCACCGGCUAACUACGUGCCAGCAGCCGCGGUAAUACGUAGGGUGCGAGCGUUAUCCGGAAUUAUUGGGCGUUUAGAGCUCGUAAGCGAUUUGUCGCGUCUGUCGCGAAAGUCCGGGGCUUAACCCCGGAUCUUUUGGUGUGUACGGGCAGACUAGAGUGCAGUAGGGGAGACUGGUAAUUCCUGGUGUAGCGGUGGAAUGCGCAGAUAUCAGGAGGAACACGAUGGCGAAGGCAGGUCUCUGGGCUGUAACUGACGCUGAGGAGCGAAAGCAUGGGGAGCGAACAGGAUUAGAUACCCUGGUAGUCCAUGCCGUAAACGUUGGGCACUAGGUGUGGGGACCAUUCCACGGUUUCCGCGCCGCAGCUAACGCAUUAAGUGCCCCGCCUGGGGAGUACGGCCGCAAGGCUAAAACUCAAAGGAAUUGACGGGGGCCCGCACAAGCGGCGGAGCAUGCGGAUUAAUUCGAUGCAACGCGAAGAACCUUACCAAGGCUUGACAUGUUCUCGAUCGCCGUAGAGAUACGGUUUCCCCUUUGGGGCGGGAUCACAGGUGGUGCAUGGUUGUCGUCAGCUCGUGUCGUGAGAUGUUGGGUUAAGUCCCGCAACGAGCGCAACCCUCGUUCCAUGUUGCCAGCACGUAAUGGUGGGGACUCAUGGGAGACUGCCGGGGUCAACUCGGAGGAAGGUGGGGACGACGUCAAAUCAUCAUGCCCCUUAUGUCUUGGGCUUCACGCAUGCUACAAUGGCCGGUACAAUGGGUUGCGAUACUGUGAGGUGGAGCUAAUCCCAAAAAGCCGGUCUCAGUUC
rnacentral:rRNA from 1 species